rnacentral:rRNA from 1 species
GGGCGUGGGGGCGUGCUUACACAUGCAGUCGAACGAUGAACCUCCUUCGGGAGGGGAUUAGUGGCGAACGGGUGAGUAACACGUGGGCAAUCUGCCCUGCACUCUGGGACAAGCCCUGGAAACGGGGUCUAAUACCGGAUACGACUCGGGAGGGCAUCCUUCCGGGUGGAAAGCUCCGGCGGUGCAGGAUGAGCCCGCGGCCUAUCAGCUUGUUGGUGGGGUGAUGGCCUACCAAGGCGACGACGGGUAGCCGGCCUGAGAGGGCGACCGGCCACACUGGGACUGAGACACGGCCCAGACUCCUACGGGAGGCAGCAGUGGGGAAUAUUGCACAAUGGGCGAAAGCCUGAUGCAGCGACGCCGCGUGAGGGAUGACGGCCUUCGGGUUGUAAACCUCUUUCAGCAGGGAAGAAGCGCAAGUGACGGUACCUGCAGAAGAAGCGCCGGCUAACUACGUGCCAGCAGCCGCGGUAAUACGUAGGGCGCAAGCGUUGUCCGGAAUUAUUGGGCGUAAAGAGCUCGUAGGCGGCUUGUCGCGUCGGAUGUGAAAGCUCGGGGCUUAACCCCGGGUCUGCAUUCGAUACGGGCAGGCUAGAGUGUGGUAGGGGAGAUCGGAAUUCCUGGUGUAGCGGUGAAAUGCGCAGAUAUCAGGAGGAACACCGGUGGCGAAGGCGGAUCUCUGGGCCAUUACUGACGCUGAGGAGCGAAAGCGUGGGGAGCGAACAGGAUUAGAUACCCUGGUAGUCCACGCCGUAAACGUUGGGAACUAGGUGUUGGCGACAUUCCACGUCGUCGGUGCCGCAGCUAACGCAUUAAGUUCCCCGCCUGGGGAGUACGGCCGCAAGGCUAAAACUCAAAGGAAUUGACGGGGGCCCGCACAAGCAGCGGAGCAUGUGGCUUAAUUCGACGCAACGCGAAGAACCUUACCAAGGCUUGACAUAUACCGGAAAGUGCUAGAGAUAGUGCCCCCCUUGUGGUCGGUAUACAGGUGGUGCAUGGCUGUCGUCAGCUCGUGUCGUGAGAAUGUUGGGUUAAGUCCCCGCAACGAGCGCAACCCUUGUUCUGUGUUGCCAGCAUGCCCUUCGGGGUGAUGGGGACUCACAGGAGACUGCCGGGGUCAACUCGGAGGAAGGUGGGGACGACGUCAAGUCAUCAUGCCCCUUAUGUCUUGGGCUGCACACGUGCUACAAUGGCCGGUACAAUGAGCUGCGAUGCCGUGAGGCGGAGCGAAUCUCAAAAAGCCGGUCUCAGUUCGGAUUGGGGUCUGCAACUCGACCCCAUGAAGUCGGAGUUGCUAGUAAUCGCAGAUCAGCAUUGCUGCGGUGAAUACGUUCCCGGGCCUUGUACACACCGCCCGUCACGUCACGAAAGUCGGUAACACCCGAAGCCGGUGGCCCAACCCCUUGUGGGAGGGAGCUUCGAAGGUGAUCCGCGU